rnacentral:rRNA from 1 species
AAGUCGUAACAAGGUUUCCGUAGGUGAACCUGCGGAAGGAUCAUUAAAAAAAGAGAAACGUCCCGUUUUUUUUUCAUAAGAAUGGGUUCUAUUCCCUUAAACCGUGUCUACAUACCUUUGUUGCUCUGGCAGGCCGCCUUCGGGCGUCGGCUCCGGCUGAUAGUGCCUGCCAGAGGACCCAAACUCUAUGUUUAGUGAUGUCUGAGUACUAUAUAAUAUUUAAAACUUUCAACAACGGAUCUCUUGGUUCUGGCAUCGAUGAAGAACGCAGCGAAAUGCGAUAAGUAAUGUGAAUUGCAGAAUUCAGUGAAUCAUCGAAUCUUUGAACGCACAUUGCGCCCCUUGGUAUUCCGAGGGGCAUGCCUGUUCGAGCGUCAUUAUAACCACUCAAGCCUGGCUUGGUAUUGGGGUUUUCGCGUGUUCGCGGCCCUUAAAAUCAGUGGCGGUGCCGUCUGGCUCUAAGCGUAGUAAUUUCUCUCGCUAUAGGGUUCCGGUGGUUACUUGCCAAAACCCCCCAUUUUUUCUAGGUUGACCUCGGAUCAGGUAGGGAUACCCGCUGAACUUAA